CGGUCCCACUCCUUCCCAUUCCGAACAGGACAGUGAAACGCCUCUGCGCCGAUGAUAGUUGGUUGUAUUUCCAGUGAAAGUAGGUCAUCGCCAGGC
rnacentral:rRNA from 1 species